AAUAAAAAAAUCCAUGUUUACCCGAGAAGUGAGCGUUCCGAGUCGAAAUAUCUCGCACGUAGUGUUGCCGCUUUUCCGCGUGCGUGAUUGGCCGGUCGAAGCCGGGUGAUCGAGAUCGCGGCGGUUCCGCGAAUUUCGUGCGUGUGCGUCGUGAUCAAUCGUGAUGUGACAGUUCGCGUCGUGUCGUUAGGAGGUUAAUAUUAUUAUUAAUGUGAUCUCUCAUCAUUAAAUACGAUCGUUUAAUUCGCGACUUUCGUUCGCGUCACGCAAGGAUCGAAGUGACGACGGCGAUCGAGAUCGCGGCGAGUUUGGCAAGUUAAUUUCGCGCGUGUAUCGCGUGAUGUGACGUGUGUUCGCGUGGUGUGUUUUGCGAGAUAUACCGAUGAAGUUAAUGUUCGAGAAGAUCUGAUGGAAUUAGCUGUUGGUGCUCAUGGCACAAAUAUUCAACAAACGUGAAAAGUUGAUGACAUUACAAAUAUAGUUAGAAGAAAAUUCAUGCACAUUUAAGAUAUAUAGAGAGACACAUGAAGCUGUUAAGAAAGACCGAUCUAUGUUGGAAUACAGCGGUAACCUAAAAAUAGAUGGUGACAGUGACAGAGUCGUAACCAUUGCCGCGUGAUAGAUGAUAGUGAUAGUGAAAUAUAUAUUGACGGCAGGGAGCUGAUGCCGAGGAGAUCUUUCAGAAGGAAGGUGUAUCCAAAAUCGCACACGAACAUUUUAUAUUCAACUAUAUGGUAUACAAUUUUGCCGCUAUAUAUUGACCGCAGGGAGCUGAUACCGAAGAGACCGUUAAGAAGAAAGGUGUAUCCAAAAUUGCACAUGUAUGGGACUUAUGAGUUAUGCGAAGGAAUUGAUACUAUUAAGAUUCAUUGGUUAUAUGAAGUUUGCACACGUCAAGCUUGACAUCCUUAAGAUCACAAUGCAUUCUGAAAACGAUACCGUGCAGGUUCGUUGGCGUAUACGUGGUGUCACAGGCUGGAAGGUAUUUUCUAUGUUUUGGAAGUAAAAUUUGGAAAAUACAACAUGCCAUAAUAAGCGCUAAUCAGGAAAUAUGGUACGACGGCUUUUUUAUGUUAAUGCUGAAUGGAAAAGUCUAUAAGCAUAUUGCGGACAAGAUAAUGCCUAAUCAGUAUACAGCGAGGUAUACAGCCACGAAAAAGAAAGAUAUGCGCAUGGCAGGGAAAUUAGCGCUAUUCACAGGCCUUGUAAACAUAUUUAGUAACAACGAGGAUUCUUUGAAUUGAGCUCUGUCUUAAAAUCGCAUCAAUUGAAGUGAAUCCAUUGCUGAGUGCUGAAAUUAUACAAUUUUAUCCGUCACAACGAAUAGACCAAGAGGAAUGCUUUUUCCAGUCGAUGGUUUCGAAUGUUGCUGACAUAUCUAUUUCGUUGCAAAUGCAUCAUUAUGAAAUGAUGAUCGGUAGUAAAUGAAAGAUAUGUGAAUUAAAAAAAUGUGUACAUUAACUAAACAGUAUCUUUGUUUGAUUACAAACUAUCUUCAUCUAAUUUUUUAGUGAAAAUGUCCGAAUAAUUUGCGUUAGUAUUUCUGUGUAAAAAAAUAUGACGAUUAUAUUACAGUAUAUCUGACGAUUUUAACAUAAUUAUAGAGGUAGGGUGUCUAAAUGGUUAUCGUUCCAUCCAAAUGUAGCUUUUAUACUAUUCGGAUAGUAUCGAUAUUUUAUGCUGCUUAGAAACAAGUAAAAAGUAUUUUAAGACACUUGUAUCGUUUCCAGAAUAUAAAAACUUGUGUUUAGAUUACAGAUAUACGUUUUGGGUAUUUCGUUACAAAUGUAUCAUUGUGAAAUGAUGAUCGGUA